rnacentral:lncRNA from 1 species
UUAUUGUGUCGAUCUGUAAGUAAUAUUAAAUCCGAUGAUUCUGAUUCCUCAGAAAUAAAAAGAGUAAUAAAUAGGAAUGAAUUAAUAUUGCAAGAUUUUAGUAAAGCUAUAGAUGAUUGGGAAAUACCUAAAGUAGAAGAAUCUAGAAGCUAGAAGCUACCCGAUUAUGCCCUCCGGAUUUAAUAUUACUUACAGAUCGACACAAUAAA